rnacentral:lncRNA from 1 species
UUUCAUAGGUAAGGUCUUGGCUCAAAUGCUGCCUCCCCUAUGAAGAUGUCCUGACCCUCCCAGCCUAGAGUGACUGCUCCCUCCUUGAGUCUCAGGAUCUCCAACUGUGACAUGGGCAUACUGUUUGCAACAUACCCACAGAUGGAUUGUGAUGAGGAAGGAAAGAGAGAGUCCAUGUAGCAUGCUAAGUGUAGUGUCUGGUGCAGGCCUGUGGACUCUCCAGAAUCUGACACUCCAAUGACAAUCCAUCCCUCUCUAUGGAGCCUACGACAGCACACAUGUCUGCGUCCUAGAGAGGACAGGUUUCAGGUCACCGGAGGAAU